UACGUAGGGUCCGAGCGUUGUCCGGAUUUAUUGGGCGUAAAGAGCUCGUAGGCGGCUUGUCGCGUCGAAUGUGAAAACUCGGGGCUCAACUCCGAGCUUGCAUUCGAUACGGGCAGGCUAGAGUUCGGUAGGGGAGACUGGAAUUCCUGGUGUAGCGGUGAAAUGCGCAGAUAUCAGGAGGAACACCGGUGGCGAAGGCGGGUCUCUGGGCCGAUACUGACGCUGAGGAGCGAAAGCGUGGGGAGCGAACAGG
rnacentral:rRNA from 1 species